GACGAACGCUGGCGGCGUGCCUAAUACAUGCAAGUCGAACGCUGAAGAGAGGAGCUUGCUCUUCUUGGAUGAGUUGCGAACGGGUGAGUAACGCGUAGGUAACCUGCCUUGUAGCGUGGGAUAACUAUUGGAAACGAUAGCUAAUACCGCAUAACAAUGGAUGACACAUGUCAUUUAUUUGAAAGGGGCAAUUGCUCCACUACAUGAUGGACCUGCGUUGUCUUAGCUAGUAGGUGAGGUAAUGGCUCACCAAGGCAACGUUACAUAGCCGACCUGAGAGGUGGUCCGCCACACUGGGACCGGGGCACGGCCCAGGCUUCUUAGGGGAGGAGGCGUAGGGGAUCCUCGGGAAAGGGGGCAACCCCGGCCGAGCCACGCCGGGUGAGGGGAGGAGGUUUUCGGAUCGUAAAGUCCUGUUGUAAGUCAAGAACGGGUGGGGGAGUGGAAAGUGCACGCUGUGACGGUAGCUUACCAGAAAGCGACGGCUAACUACGUG
rnacentral:rRNA from 1 species